GGAUCAAAUUGUUGGUCGUGCCUCGGUACGUACUGGCAUUAUUGAUUUCUCCCUUCUGAAGAACCACGAUGUCAUUAAUUUGGUGUCGUGGGGAAUCAGGACUGUUACUUUGAAAAAUUAGAGUGUUUAAAGCAGGCUCACGCUUGAAUACAUUAGCAUGGAAUAAUGAAAUAGGACGUUUGAUUCUAUUUUGUUGGUUUCUAGGAUCGACGUAAUGAUU
rnacentral:rRNA from 1 species